GCUCAACCGAAGAAGUGCAUCGGAAACUGGGAAACUUGAGUGCAGAAGAGGACAGUGGAACUCCAUGUGUAGCGGUGAAAUGCGUAGAUAUAUGGAAGAACACCAGUGGCGAAGGCGGCUGUCUGGUCUGUAACUGGCGCUGAGGCUCGAAAGUAUGGGUAGCAAACAGGAUUAGAUACCCUGGUAGUCCAUACCGUAAACGAUGAAUGCUAAGUGUUGGAGGGUUUCCGCCCUUCAGUGCUGCAGCUAACGCAUUAAGCAUUCCGCCUGGGGAGUACGGCCGCAAGGCUGAAACUCAAAGGAAUUGACGGGGGCCCGCACAAGCGGUGGAGCAUGUGGUUUAAUUCGAAGCUACGCGAAGAACCUUACCAGGUCUUGACAUACUAUGCAAAUCUAAGAGAUUAGACGUUCCCUUCGGGGACAUGGAUACAGGUGGUGCAUGGUUGUCGUCAGCUCGUGUCGUGAGAUGUUGGGUUAAGUCCCGCAACGAGCGCAACCCUUAUUAUCAGUUGCCAGCAUUAAGUUGGGCACUCUGGUGAGACUGCCGGUGACAAACCGGAGGAAGGUGGGGAUGACGUCAAAUCAUCAUGCCCCUUAUGACCUGGGCUACACACGUGCUACAAUGGACGGUACAACG
rnacentral:rRNA from 1 species